rnacentral:rRNA from 1 species
GAUGAACGCUAGCGGCAGGCCUAACACAUGCAAGUCGAGGGAGAAGCCCUUUCGGGGGCAGAAACCGGCGCACGGGUGCGUAACGCGUAUGCAACCUACCUUUCACAGGGGGAUAGCCCGAAGAAAUUUGGAUUAAUACCCCAUAAUAUUGUUGGAUGGCAUCAUUUGGCAUUUAAAGCUACGACGGUGGAAGAUGGGCAUGCGUCCUAUUAGCUAGUUGGAGUGGUAACGGCACCCCAAGGCUACGAUAGGUAGGGGUCCUGAGAGGGAGAUCCCCCACACUGGUACUGAGACAGGGACCAGACUCCUACGGGAGGCAGCAGUGAGGAAUAUUGGUCAAUGGUCGGAAGACUGAACCAGCCAUGCCGCGUGCAGGAAGAAUGCCUUAUGGGUUGUAAACUGCUUUUAUAUGGGAAGAAUAAGGUGUACG